rnacentral:rRNA from 1 species
AUGGCCGCGCAGAUGCUCCGCCGGUGGAACAGCUUCUACGGCGCCUUCGACCCCUUGGACGCCGCCAUCGAGGCCGCCGACCCAGACCAAUUUUCCCGCCACGUGUUCCAGCGCGCGAGGGGGGACCUGCUGGUAGGGCUCUGCAACGCCGCCGACGAGGACCAGGCGGAGCGUAUCUGCGGGAUUCUCGACGACCUCAUGGCAGAGUCUCUCGAGACGCUCAGGGUGGUCCCAUCAACUCCGGGGGUGCCCAUCCCCACGAAACUCGCCGAGUCUGUGCGCGCGCUGCGGGAGCACGACUCGGAGCGCGUCCGCCUCCUCGCGCGCGGCAUCGUGAGCGGGUGGGAGGCCUCCGUCCAGGAGGACGUCGCCGAGGUCACAGCAGCCAUGCCCAUGAAGAAGAAGGUGGAGAACGUGCCGCAGCCCAAGGCGACCGUCGGCCAGCAGCAGCAGCAGCAGCAGCGUGGCUCCGCCGACCCUGACGCGGAGACGAAGCGACCUCCCAAGAUCGUCAGCGAGCCGUUGCCCAAGAAGAUGGCUGAAAUCAUCAAAAAGGCAUCCGAUCCUGCCGCCGGCUUCGUCGACGGUGACCGUGCCCGGCUCUGCUCGGAGGAGAAGAUGGAAGCCGCGAAGCGCAAGCUCCGCCAAGGUUACCAGGAAGCAGCGGGCGCCAAACGGAGGCGCAAGACGCAGUUGGUGCAGGCGCCCAAGAUGAUGCAGCCAAUCAGGAGGUGCACCAGCUCCAUGGUCAAGAAGACCUUCGCGGUCAGGACGCAGCUUCACGUGUGUAGCUCUGGUCAAGAAGACAGUUGA